rnacentral:tRNA from 1 species
UUUUAUUUCCCGGCUUAGUAUUAGAUAUAAAUAUACCUAUGGAAUCUUAGUAAUAAAUAACAGUGAAAGAAAU